UCCAAUGUAAUCAGGCAGUGAUUAUGUUCAUUUAAUGACAUUACUUUACCAUGGAUACUGAGCCCAUUUCCCGUACAUCCAAUUAGCCUGCUUCUGUAUUCUCUUAUUAAAUUACGGCUGGUAAAAGAAAACGGAAAAAAAAAAAAAAAUGAAAAACUCACAACGUGACAAGGCGCAAAUAUUUAGUAAGCUGGCGCUAGUGGCUUCACAAAGUCAGCAGAAAGGAAGGAUUCGAUAAAUAAGCAGCAUUUAUUUGUGCCGAUUGGACCAGGAUGACACUCACAAGUGACAGAUGACACUCCCGACUGACUCUCUAUGUGUGUACAGUGUGUGGAUUAAAUCCUGACCGGAUGAUUGAUAGCUGACAUUCACCUGGACCCGCCUUUUCUCGCCAGGAGGACUGAAAACCAGAAGCUCUGCCAUCUUGAACUCAGACCUCUCUGCAAUCAUCUGCUUGUUUGUUUCGGUUUACUUCCAAUCCACUUACUAUAUGGAGUUACCAGAAAAACCAGAAGAAAAAUAAGUGCCUCCGCUUCCAGGCAUCAAAAUGGCUGCCACUACGUCACUUCCGGCCAUCCUCAAUAACAUCACUUCCGGCUCUUCAAGAUCACAUCACUUCUGACUCACUAAGAUGAUGUUACUUCCUGUUCCUGUUUCUAAUGUCCC